rnacentral:lncRNA from 1 species
GGUAUUCACCUGGCUGGUGUUUACCUGGCUGGUAUUCACCUGGCUGGUGUUCACCUGGCUGGUAUUCACCUGGCUGGUGUUCACCUGGAACUGGCUGGUGUUCACCUGGCUGGUAUUUACCUGGCUGCCGCUGUGCUGAUAAAUUCCUAUCACAAACCACCUGUUUCUCUUCCUCCUUCUCCUCCAUUUAAAUUAUAAUUAAAUUCAACUUUAAUUAUCUCAUCUCAGGGGCCAUCAAGAAAGGCAAUUUACACUUUAACUAUUCACUAACCAUGCAAACUGAAUGCCUAAAUAAACCUUUCUCUGUGAAUGAGAUACUUUUUGUCAUGUUUAAUUUUUUUUAAAUAAUAAUCACUCUGUCUGACUGAGGGAUUAUUAUGGUGUUAUUAUGGUGUUAUUAUGGUGUUACUCAGUGAUUAUUAUGGUGUUACUCAGUGAUUAUUAUGGUGUUACUCAAUGAUUAUUAUGGUGUUACUCAGUGAUUAUUAUGGUGUUAUUAUGGUGUUAUUAUGGUGUUACUCAGUGAUUAUUAUGGUGUUACUCAGUGAUUAUUAUGGUGUUACUCAGUGAUUAUUAUGGUGUUAUUAUGGUGUUAUUAUGGUGUUACUCAGUGAUUAUUAUGAUGUUACUCAGUGAUUAUUAUGGUGUUACUCAGUGAUUAUUAUGGUGUUACUCAGUGAUUAUUAUGAUGUUACUCAGUGAUUAUUAUGAUGUUACUCAGUGAUUAUUAUGGUGUUACGCAGUGAUUAUUAUAUUGGUACUCAGUGAUUAUUAUAUUGUUACUCAGUGAUUAUUAUGGUGUUACUCAUUGAUUAUUAAGGUGUUACUCAGUGAUUAUUAUGAUGUUACUCAGUGAUUAUUAUGGUGUUACUCAGUGAUUAUUAUGGUGUUACUCAGUGAUUAUUAUGGUGUUACUCAGUGAUUAUUAUGAUGUUACUCAGUGAUUAUUAUGAUGUUACUCAGUGAUUAUUAUGGUGUUACUCAGUGAUUAUUAUGAUGUUACUCAGUGAUUAUUAUGGUGUUACUCAGUGAUUAUUAUGAUGUUACUCAGUGAUUAUUAUGAUGUUACUCAGUGAUUAUUAUGGUGUUAUUCAGUGAUUAUUAUGGUGUUACUCAGUGAUUAUUAUGAUGAUACUCAGUGAUUAUUAUGGUGUUACUCAGUGAUUAUUAUGAUGUUACUCAGUGACACCAUUAUAUUGUUACAUGCAACAGUCAGGUGUGUCUUGAGCUAUUCUGGUGGCUCAUUAUGAGACUGUGGAACAAUGAUUGUCAGAACAAUGGCUGCCUGGGCGGAUACACUGCCAAUCCAGUUCUGUCAGUUUGGCGCCUGGCAGCAUAUACACACGUUGACAUGCACAAAUAAUACCACUCCUGUUUACCUGGCAUUUAAACUGGGCAAAGGCAAGUGCUGAGAGACAUUCCCCACAUAUAUUGUCCCAUUAGUCAAUCAAAAUAUGACAACUUUAUAAUAUAGCCCAUGCCAGGGGCCCAUCUGGAACAUUCUUAUAUGACAGACAUACUAUUGGCAUUGUUUGGUCACAGGGAAAGAACACAUGAAAACAGAGACAGAUGUGUGAGAAAGAGAGGACAGGGAAAGAGAGAACACAUGAAAACAGAAAGAGAUG